UAAUUCUCCUCUACAUUUUUUUCCUUUCUUUUUCUUCUCUUUUUCUUUCCAUUAAUUUUGUUCCCCACUCCAUCAACUCCACUACCCUAUGCUCCCCACCAUCUCCACUACCUUUGCUCCCCAUCAACUCCAACACUUCACCCAUUCCUUCCAUUUCGCACCAGCAAUCACAAAGAGAAGGAAGACUUGGCUUAACUACUUUGCCAAGAUUUCAAGCUGCUCCAGUCCAGUAGUACCCCAACACUCGAAGCUAGAGUUUAUUGGGUGAAAAACCGUGCAUGAGGUCGAGCGCAAGAAUAAGAGCUCGUCAAGGAGUCACUAAUCUGUAGCAAAGCUUUGCUAUCAGGUUGAGCAGCUGCCGAUGGUGAUGAAGUGACGAGCGGGACUCUUUUGUCUUAUUAUGUAUUAAUGAACUCUAGGGUUACAUGUCUUCAUACAUGUAAUCAGAACCUUAUUCCGCUGCGUACUCAGAAGUUUUAUGUUAUUUUGGAUAAGUCGGAGUUAUCCGAACUUGUUAGUUAUUUGAGUCUAUACGACAAAAACUCUGUUAUAUUAUAGAUAUCUAUGUUGUUAACAAUGAUGAAAUACGAUCCUUUCUUGUUUGAUUA